GGGGUGAAUUAAUUUCUUAAAACAUGCUGGGAGAAAUCCCAUCGAGGCAUUAUAGGGAGGUACCAGCAUUAUACGUUCAGCUCUGAGUUAGCAUGUGGAAUAUACACCACUCACCUUUUUGCCUUAAAACUGAUCACAAUAUUCUCCCCCAGCUGCAGCUUAUUCUUCAGGGAAGUCCCUUGUCAAGCGAAUGCAGCAACUUAUCUACAAGGUAACCAGAUAUGCAUUACAGUAAAUAAUUAUUGUCCUUCAGAAGGAAUGUAGUUGCAUCUGAUGAAAGACAUUUCUUGCAAAUCACUGGGGCGCUCAGGUGCAAGAGGGAAGUCAAUGAAAAUUCCUUUACGCAGCAUCCUUUAUGUACCUCCAUCCACAAAUCAGCUGCCAGCUAUCACUACCUGGAUCUUUAGAAUAUAAGCAAACUAGUAUCAUCACAAUUAAGAUUGCCCUGUUACACACAAGUGAAAUGGUGUGAAGCAGUGGUUAAAGUUCUACACCAGGACUAGAGUGAUAGAAGUUCAGAAUCCUACUCGGUUUCGAAGGUCAGUGGGUAGUUACAGAAUAGACAAUACCUCUUAGCCUAGCCUACCUUACAGGGUUGUUGUGAAGACAAAAUGGGGGAGGAGAACCAAGGUCUGCCGACUGCACUGGCUGCCAGUUAAUUUCUGGGCCCAACUCAUAGUGGUUUACAAAGCCUUAAACAGCUCAAGACUGCAAUACCACAAGGACCACCUCUUCCCAUAUGAACUGACUCAGACCCUGUGAACAUAAUCUGAGGUUCUCCUUCACAUGCCCCCUCCAUGAGAGGUUUCGAGGGCAGCAACACAAGAAAGGGCCUUUUCUGAAGUGGCUUCCCACUUGUGGAAUGCUCUCUCCAGAGAGGCUCAGUUGGCACCUUCGUUGCAUAUCUUUAGGCACCAGGCAAAAACCUUCCUCUUCACCCAGGCCUUUCACCAAUUAAACAAAUUACAACCUUUUAAACCAAACAGGGGUGUCCAAACUUUUUUCAAAGGGCCAGAUUUGAUGAAGUGAACAUGCGUGAGGGCUGACCACUGCUGCAGGUGCCGGAUUAAACCGACCAGCGGGCCAGAUUAGGCCCCCGAUACGGACUUUGGGCACGCCUGUUUUAAACUUGUGUGUGUUUGUUUUGUUUAUUAUUAAGUUAUGUAUUUUUGCAUUUUUUUAUACUGUAAACCACUGGAUGAAGGGUGGCAUAUAACUCAAAUAAUAAUAUUUAAUUCCCUGAAGGAAAGGAGAGAAAUAAAUAUAGUGAACACCUACACCACCUUUCUAGGUGGCAUAGUGCAAUUUGAUGAUUAAUGGUAUUGAAAGCUGGCACUGGAUAUUUCAAAGAGUGGUAUUCUACCUGUCCUUAAGCAAACAUCACGGAACAGCCCUACUGAAGCAAUUUGGCUCAGGUUUCAAGCCAGGAGUUGGUUCAGUAUUUAUUAGUAGACUUGGAUCUAUUCAGCCACUGCACAUGUGAAAGGGCACUACAAGUCCAAAGUGAUUUCAGGCCCAUGGCUUUAGCCCUGAUCUUCUCCAGUAUGUUCAGGUCAAAAACCUGCAACAGAGAAGCGACUUAUGCUUGGGUCAGCUUUCUGCAUACUUUGGAAUUCUGCUUGUGGGCAGAGUCCACACCAGAAUCCCUGCUGCAGGCAUUUGUCCUGAUCCCAUGGGAAGCGGGAAAGGGUUGUGUGACAGCAGGGUCUGAAGGUGUGGUCCUACAGGUCCCGCGUGUUGCCUCUUCCUGUGAGUAAUGGCUGGGCAGAGUCGUUCAAGAAAUUUAGCAGCAGAACAUCUCCUGCUUGAAACCGGUCUUCUGCCAAGUGCUCAGUCACCUUGCCAAAAAUAGUAAGUUACGGAAUGGCUAGAAAAAUUCCAAAGUAACUUGGAUCAAAUUGAUAGCUGCUUAAUUAGAAACCAAACUUCAGUUUCCUUCAGAAUUUCUCCUGUAAAGGAGCAACUGAUAAUCUCUUGACCAAUGGUGUCAGUCUCUGUACUGAUCUGAUGCGAUAGGUAAAGGUCACAUGCUAGCUAAACAUCUCCAAGCAUCUUGUCAGUUCUGGGAUACCAAUAAUUGGCUCUGACUUGAGCAAUUAGCAUAAGCAGAGGUUGUAAGAGAUGGCUAAUGACUCUCUUUUCCUGCCUAAUAAGCAACAGAGGAAGGACCAAAGAGGAAUGAUAGAUCAGAAGCUUUCUUUGUAUUAGUGCCAGGUUCAAUCACUGGGAUUCCCAAUUCAUAGAAUUGCAAAGUUAGAAGGGACCACAAGAGUCAUCUAGUCCAACCCCCUGCAGUGCAGGAAUCAUUUGCCCAACAUGGGUCUUGAACUCACCACCCUGCGAUUAAGAGUCACAUGCUCUACAAACGGAGCUAUGCUCUCAGCAGAGCUGAAAAGACUCAUUCUGGACUCUUUGGAGCCACUGCCAGUCACUAUAAAUUGGCAUUAGACCAGAUGGGGCAGUGCACUGACUUAGUCUCACGUGACAUGUCCCACAACUUCCAUGACAACAGUUUCCUGAAUCUAAAUGCUUAAAAAAAAUGUGUGUUGCAAACUGGUAUAUAUCAUGGCAGGAAUUGUUUUCAUCGGCAUUGACAGGCCUUUACCUUUUCUCAAAGGCUUUAUAAAUUUUCAUUUUCUUUUUUAAAAAAAUGAGCAGAAAAGUUUAUGAUUUAUUGCAGGGAGAAAACUUGCGAGUCCCACACUGAACUUAAAACACAUUGGCACAAAUGAGCAGUUUAAAAUAACCGGAGUCAGGCAUAAUGUUUGCAAUUAGCAUAUCAAAGCUGUCCGCUCUAUCACAUCGGGAUCUAUUGUCCUGAAGUGUGGCUGUGCUACACGGAGUUUUGCUAACUCAGGCAUCGCUUUGUUGGAAAUAGCUGCAGUGCUUUCCUUGGGGUGCUGGAAGGGAGGCCACCAAUUAGUGACAUUCAGAAUACCUUGCGUUCUGCAAAUUAUGUAACUUUGUUUAGUCACCAUAGAUUGUAAUGGCGGGUUGGGAACAAGACUGAAUUUGAUGCUAUUUUGACUCGGGGAAGAAAUAUGUUUAAUCCCUCACAUUUGCUUUAAGCAAUACAAUCUCUUAAGAUCUUUUAUGUCACACUAACUCUUUACAUGUUCCUUCAUUUCACACCCUGGUAGGAGUACCAAAUACCUUUAUAGACAUUCAUUUUACGCCCUUGCCUGUAUUGUGCCUCUGCAGAUUCCUGACUCCCUAACAGUCGUUCAUAAGGAGGGAAGCUGCAUGGUCAAAAGUUGCGUUCAGUUUCCCAAAGCUAACUUCUUGGUUCUUACGGUUAAGCUUGAGCACAGAUAGCAAGUCAUUUUUCUGUGACUACCCAGCUUUAUGCCAAGGCAGAAAAGAGCAGCAAUCUGUUGGAAUUGCUAAUUUAUACGCCGUAAACUUUGGCUAGGACAAGUUGGACGCAGUGCUCUGAAGAGGGCAGUUGCUGAAUGUCUAAUGAGGCAUUCCAAAGCCACGCAAGAGAAAAAGAGACGCUCCCAGGAAUCUUAAUGAGCUCCCACAAUUGCAACACUGUGUGGAUGGAGCAGCUGCAGAGGCCGUUUUCUGCCGGAUCAAGGCCUUACAAAACACCCUGUCCCAAUAAGAAUGGAUUAAGUGAAUAUUUUCUACAUUGCAAUUUUGCUUAAAGUAAGCAUUUGUAAAGCAUUCCAUUAGAAGGGGGGUGGUCUCUGUCUCAGCUCCCCUUUACCCCUCCAGAGAAUAAGCUAGAAUUCUGCAUUUUGAUUGAUUUUAUUGAUCAAAGAAAGUUGAUUUUUUAAAAACCAACAACCAAAAAACUUGGCUUUGACCACCAGCUGCAUUUUCCAUUGCAGACAAAUGAUUAUGCAACAAUCCUUAAAAAUGUGUUCUACAAAAGCAAGCAUUACUGCACAUGUAGAACUGGCUGCCUCUAGCUUCUUUUUUUAUAAUGGGUUGCAGAAAGUUUGUUAAUCCAUUUAAAUCUUGCCCUUUAAAUUUAUUUACACAAAAGAAACAUUUUCUCCAAGGAAAAAAAAUCAAUCUUCUCCCUUCUGCUUCCAAAUAACAGAUAUAACAAGUGCCCACUACGAGGACAGCUGCUUAGAAGCCAUCAACUUCCUGCAGGUUGUUUAUUUUGACUUGCUACCGCAGGUGGAGCUUAGAGGCGGCGGACAGGAGGGGGGCCACCUGCAGUUAAUGCAGCAGACAUCUCUUGAGCACCUUUUGAGUGCAAUGAGAUUUUUGUUUCAAGGCGCAGCAAACUCAUGCAGAUUUUAGGCAGAAGGAAGAGGGAACCCCAGCUGAAGUCUAAAAAGCUUUCUCUGUUUAUUCACAAAGGGGAGGCCAAACAAUGUACUAUUUGUGCAUAGGAGCCAACUCCUAGGGCCCAAGGUCCCUUUGCCCCUCCUAAUAAUAUUUGCGGGGGCCACCUCCCAUGUUGAUGGGGUGUGUGGGGUGUGUGCGUGCCAUGUCUUGUGAUCAAUUAUGUGGGGUGGGGCUUACCUGGCCCCUCCCCCCAAUAUUUCAUUCAAGUUGUCACCCCUGGUUUUGUGUGAAUAUUGAACAAGCCUAUUUGCUAUUGAGCUUUUAGAAAGGAAAGGAAAGGAAAGGAAAGGAAAGGGAGAAGGAAAGGAAAGGAAAGGGAAGGAAGAAGGAAAGGAAAGGGAAGGAAGAAGGAAAGGAAAGGGAAGGGAAAGGGAGAAGGAAAGGAAAGGAAAGGAAAGGAAAGGAAAGGAAAGGAAAGGAAAGGGAGAAGGAAAGGAAAGGAAAGGGAGAAGGAAAGGAAAGGAAAGGGAAGGAAGAAGGAAAGGAAAGGGAAGGAAGAAGGAAAGGAAAGGGAAGGAAGAAGGAAAGGAAAGGGAAGGAAAAGGGAAAGGGAGAAGGAAAGGAAAGGAAAGGAAAGGAAAGGGAGAAGGAAAGGAAAGGAAAGGGAGAAGGAAAGGAAAGGAAAGGGAGAAGGAAAGGAAAGGAAAGGAAAGGGAGAAGGAAAGGAAAGGAAAGGAAAGGAAAGGAAAGGAAAGGAAAGCCCAGACAAUGUGCACACAUUCUUGCAAAUGAUCAGCUUGAUACACUCUCCCUUCAUAUUUAGGAGUACAAUUAACCAGAAACCAACUUCAUUGCUAACCAAAUGUGCCACGUAAUCCCAUACAUCCUAGAAAACAAAACAAAAUGAUGGGUGCACAUGGAGACAAGUGACAAUUGAAAACACCCUACAACAACAUACCCAAUCCUCCAAAAGAAAAACUAAGGAAAAUCCCCCAAAUCACUAAACAGGUCCACACAGUCCAUGCUUAAAGCGUGGAAGGAAAAAGUAGCCACUAUUCCAACAUGCAGCACAAAACAUCCAAACAAAAACAUGGCAAGCCAAAGGCUUAAACCACCUAACAGACUUAUUUAAAAACAACCACCAUACUGACACAAGAAACACAAGACAAACUAGGGGACACUCAAAUACCCUGGAUAACACACUCCCAACUGCAUGUCUUAACAGCCCAGCAGUAAAAGCAGAAGCCACUAAGCCUUUGACCACCUUUGACCUACUUCCUAAAGUACAGAACUUUAAUAAAAAAUAAAUAGAAUAAAAAUCUAUAGCAGGACCUGGUGGUUAUAAACACAAUGAGCUGUUCUGUUAGCAGCUUAAGGCCCAACUGAGCCAGAGUCUGUCCACACACCAUACAUGUAGAACACAUUUUCCUGUCCCCCCAAGAAUUUUGAGAACUGGUUCGUUAAGGAUGCUGGGAGUUGCAGUUCUGUAAACUGCUGUUCCCAGGAUUCUUUGGGAUGUGUGUGCUUUAAAGGCAGGCCGCUUAUGCUUUUGGUUUCAAAUAGGAGAAUGAAGCACCCCUGCAACUUGGCCACAGUGGUGCAAAAGGAAUUCAAAAGUAUGCGAAUCCAUUGAACUCAGCAGCACUUACUUCUGAGUAAACGUGCAGAGGAUUGGUCUGUAAAUCAUGUUGCAGUUUCCAGUUCCAAACUAUUUUUAGUUAUCUUUUCCAGGACUUUGAUACAGCUUUUGGUGCUUUCGCUCUCUCAAACCACUCAUGUCAUUCCUUUCCCCUUUUUGGUAAGCACGGAUAGAUUUUCCUGCAUGUCUUCAGCCGCCCACCUGCUAUUUUGCCUGCCCUGAAAGUCAGUGUGACUGGAGAUUGUUUGUUUCCUUAUUUGUACAAUCUCCUCAUUGAGAAUGUCGGCAGGAAUGUGCACUGCCUGGCAAGCGCCCCGAAUUCGCUGCUUUGCCUGCAGACAGUGUAAAAAGGGCUUGAGCAAGUCCUGCAGUUGCCUUCUAAUGAGCCUGAGCUGGAAACGAGAGACACUUAACUGAUCACAAAUGUACUUGGAACAACUCUCUCUUUCCUUAUUUAAAACAAUCAAAAUGGCUCUCUUUUACUAAAGAUGAAUGGACAAUCAUCCUAAUGCAAUGCAAAUUCAUUUUAUGCUAAUGUACUAUGUACCAUCCAUAAACCUGCUGUCAGUGUAUUAUACCCCUAUAUUCAAUUUGAAGAGAUGUAUAAUUUUAUACACUAACAAUUUACUUAAAAAAGACUCCUACAUGCCAAGAUCUUUGGUAAGGGGUGAUCAAUCUACUUAAAAACACUUGAUAAAGGCGGGGGGGGGGGAACCACUCGAUAAAAUCAAUAAUGUCAAAUACUUUAUGUUCAAGCAGCUGCAAGCAUUAUUUUGCUAAUUGUAUUAACUGGAGAUUUGAUUGCAUAAAGAGCCUAUUCUUCCAUUAGUAACAGAAAAAUAAAAAGAAAUUCAUUUUAAUAUACCCUUGUUAUGGGCAAAUAACUGUGGAGGGUCAGUAGCAAUAAAACAAAAUCUCUUACAAUACAAUCCUAGGCAUGUGCACUCAGAAGUCAACUCCAUUGAGCUCAUCGAGACUCAUCCUGUCGUAGUCUCACUGCUGAGCAACAACGUGCAGAGCUCAGUAGAGUGGGAGGCCAGUCAACCAGAAGAGUUUGAGGUGUACUUACUUGGAGGCCGAGACAGCAUACGAAGUCAGGUCCAGUCCUAGGGUUGGGCGAACAGCAAUCCGCAUGGUCAAACAGUCCAGAGGUCAGGUCAGGUCAUCCAAUGAUCAGUGGGUCAGGAUGAGCAGGUAACAGCAAGGCAAAACCAGGAACUACAAGCAUUGUCUUCAGCAUCUGACUGCUGCUGGAAGCUCUGCUUAAGAAGGCUGAAGCCAGCUGGUUCUCAUCAGGGCCUUCUCCUCUGUGUCCUUGAAGGCUGAUCAGCUGCAGGUGGAGUCACUCUGCCUUCUCCCCCUUCAGGCUGCUGUUCAGCAGGCGAAGCUGACUCCUAGCCCAUGGCACAUUCCUAGGAAAGUGUAUAUAGGAUUGCAAACUGAAUAUCUAGCAAUCUUACGAUAAGUUUAAAAUUAGACUCUUAUCUAAAUUGCCUUUGGCUUCAGUCAUAGAAGAUCCUAACAGAUAUUCAUAGAUUUCAUUAAAAAAAAACCUCAUAUAGGUAUAAAGAUCUACCAAAGUUCCAUCUAGUCCAGCAUCUUGUUCCCAUAGUGGCCAACCAGACCUACACUGGAACCUCAAAAGCAAGCAAGAGCGCUAUAGACCUCUCAAGUGUUAUCAAGAGGUAUAGUCCUCCUUAUCAAAAUGGCUGACUGCAUGUUAUGCACAAACUAGUAUAACAGAACUGCAAGAAUGUCUCAUAAAAUGAGAAAAGCAGCUUGUGUGGGGUAUUUUAAACUAAGAAGCAGUGAGUGAUUAACCCUUUGGGCUCAGCCACACUUUGCUUGUGCCAUGCCUAGAAUAGAUGGGUCCGAUCAGCUUUCCGCCUUACCCACACUUUCUAGGCAUGGUCUGAGUGGUUUUCCCCUUGCCCUGCUCUUUAGCGAAAGAUCAGAACAAAUGAUAAUUUGCGGAAAAACCCAAAUUGCUGUUUGAACGCUAAGGAGCAGUUUUCUCUGGAUGAAAGCAGUGAGACAAGAGGAAUUGUGGACAAACCCUUUGCCAGCCUGCCAUUUCCUUGUUCCGAAUCAUGCUUUUUCCGUGGUUUUCCGUGGACUGAUGUUUGCUCUGAUUCAGUGGCAAAGAGCAGCUUUUCCAGGGAAAGAGCAACCAGUAAGAAAGGGAGGAGGAUUUAAGCUGGAUCCCAAGUCCACUCAGCUUGGUCAUGUUGGCUGGCAGCCUGGAGUGAAACACUAUUUUAAAGGCUUGCUUUCCCUCUGGCAGGCUUAGCUAGUGCAGCAGCGGCAGCCCUGCUUAACUUAUGCCACUGUGUUUUCCACCCGCUUCUUGUGCAUAGGCUUGCUCCUUAUACCUAUACACUGUUCUUCACUCAAGAUUCUGCCUUCCUAAGUUGCUUCUCCUAUCUCUGUCUGUCUCAGUAUCUGGGUUCUGCACAUGCGUUUGUGCAUAGAGCUUAGUUGGCUCCCAGUUUGCCCAGUACACAAGAGUGAGGGCUGGUGCCCAUUGAGACUAGCAGGGCAGAAGGCAGGGAGACCAACAGCAGAUGGGGUCAGAGUCAAUGACAGGCAGAGAUUCACCUUGGCUGGUUGUAAGGAACAAGGAAAAAGGGUAAGUUCUGUUCUGAGAGAAUACUAACUUUUAACUGCAUUUCAGAUGUACAAACUGCUGCUGUGGGACGCGGGUGGUGCUGUGGUCUAAACCACUGAGCCUCUUGGGCUUGCCGAUCAAAAGGCCAGCGGUUCGAAUCCCCGCAAUGGGGUGAGUUCCCGUUGCUCGGUCCCAGCUCCUGCCAACCUAGCAGUUCAAAAGCAAGCCAGUGCAAGUAGAUAAAUAGGUACCGCUCUGGCGGGAAGGUAAACAGUGUUUUCGUGAACUGCUCUGGUUUCACCAGAAGUGGCUUAGUCAUGCUGGCCACAUGACCCGGAAAUCUGUCUGUGGACAAACAUCGGCUCCCUUGGCCAGUAAAGCAAGAUGAGCGCCACACCCCCAGAGUUGUCUGCGACUGAACUUAACUGUCAGGGGUCCUUACUUUUAACUGCUUCUGCAGAAGCUUUUCCACUGCUAGGAAUUUUGCUUUUGAGCAGACAGCUGCAUUCCUUUUUAAGGCACAGAAAACAUCUGGUACCUACUAACUUUGUUUUUCAUUAAAGCCAGUUGUUCCCAAGCAGUUUUAAAACCUCAACAAAGUAAGGAAAUGUGAUGUCCUCUGGCUUUGAAAAUUCAAGACUCUUCUGUGAUUCAGAAUUUCUACUACUGACAAACGUGAUUUGACAGAAUCUCACUUCACAUGGGACCAGCUCCUCCCUUAUUGUGCCUGCCUGAUUUUGCAGGGCUGUUUAGUCCUAGUGUUUUCUUUCUACUCCUCUAGGGCAGUCUGGUGGAGUUCAUUACAACAGCCCCCUUAGCAAGCCCAAAAAUUCAGGCAGCUGUGUUGAUCCAUUACCACACAGAAACUUCAAAGAGCAACAGAACAUAGCACACUACCUAGUUUCUUAGAUUCAGCAUGACUGCAAUCCUAUGCAUGGUUUUCCGGGACUGAGCUCCUUUGAACUCAGUGGUACUUACUUCUAACUGCAUAGGUUCAACUUGUAAAACACAUUGAGCUUUAACAAAAGAUCUUAGCCAGCUGAAAUGAAACCUUUCAGCUUUUAAUUAGAAAUGAAAACAAUCUUGCAAAUAAGCAUCACCACGUAAACUGCUAACAUGAAGUUAGACCUCCAUGAAAUAAAAGGAAAAAAAGUAUAUUGUCUCUGCUUAGUUAUUUUCCUCCUAGCUUGCUGGCAGGUGUGGAGGACAUUUGGCCCUCCAGAUAUUGCUGAAAUACAGCCUCAAGCAUGGCCAAGGAUGAUGGGAACUGUAGUUCAGAAACAUCUGGAGUCUCAGAGAGUCCCCACCCCUGCUUUAUGGCUCUGCUAAUAUGUCUCAAAGAAACUUGAAAGCCUCCUUAUCACCUCAUUCACUUGUCAAGGCAAGGAGAUUCCUUCAAGUAUCCUGGUGCUCCUGCAGAUUAUGUCAUUGCUCUUGCUCUGAGAAAAGUCCCAGAGCUGCAAUCCACUGUAUCUCCUAAAUCUGUAUUUCCAAACCUUGUCUGCAGGGGGAAAGGGACGACAGCAGAGAGAUUUUCUUGUUUAACUGAAAACAUGCACAAGCUGAACACUGUUGUUUGAAAGUGUGUGAUACUCUCCAUCAAUGGGGGUGCCCAUAUAUUGAAAUAACUUUUAAUACCUGCUGUUUCCUACUGUGGUAAAUGGUACUGUACUACAAUAUAAAGAACAUUACUACUAAUAGUAGUAGUAAUAAUAAUAAUAAUUUCAUAUUUAUACCCCGCCCAUCUGGCUGGGUUUCCCCAGCCACUUUGGGUGGCUUAUAGACUAUAUAAAACACAAUGAAGCAUCAAACAUUAAAAGCUUCCCAAUACAGGGCUGCCUUCAGGUGUCUUCUAUAAGUUGAAUAGUUCUUUAUCUCCUUGACAUCUGAAGGGAGGGUGUUCCAAAGGGAGGGUGCCACUACUGAGAAGGCCCUCUGCCUGCAUCUCUGUAUCUUCACUUCUCGCAGUGAGGGAACCAGCAGAAGACCCUUGGAGGAAGGUACCUUUUUUCUGUGUAAAAUAAAUGUGGAAUGCUCAGUUAACACAUUUCCCCCCUCUAUCAUAUGCUUAUUGCUGGUGUAGAACCAGGAUGAUCUAUUCUAGGGAGCUGCAUUUUUCUCAUAAGGGAAGGAGUCUUCAUCCCAGCUCAAGCCUUUUGUUUCCCCCAAAGGCUGCAAAACCUUUGCUAAGCUGUUAUUCGCAGCAUAAUUAUUCCCCUUUAAUGCCUCGGAAACCUGAGAUUCUUAAUGACUCCGACUAUGGGGACAGGGCCAUUUUUCAUGGGCUUUUUGAAAUUUGCUGCAACAACUGAGUAGAGAGUCUCAGGGGAAACCCGGGGUGGGGGAAAGGAUUUGGCAGUGCAGUUUCCUUGAAGUCGUAGGGGGGAUCCCUCAGGGCCUCUGAAACAAUUGUUUAGGGGUUUGGUUCAGUGUGUUGCACAUUUAUUUUUUAAUAAUAGUUAUAUACUGCUAACUCAUGUAGAUAAUGCCCGAGCAAAUAUAAAAUCACAGUAAACGUAUCAAAAAUAUAAAUGCCAUAACUGGCCAAUCACCUAAACUCCAUCCAACUGAAAAGGCCUGCCGACACAAGGUGGUUUUCAAAAGACAUCUAAAAGUAAGAGCACCAGAAGGUAAUAAAAGCCUGCUGGAUCAGGCCAGUGACCCAUCUAGUCCUCCAUCCUGUUCUCAUAGUGGCCAGCCAGAAGCCUAUGGGAAGUCCACCAGCAGGACCCGUGCACAAGAGCACUCUAUCUACUUGUGAUUCUCAACAACUGGAAUUCAGGGCCAUGUUGCCUCUGACUGUGGAGGCAGAAUAUAGCCAUUGUGACUAGUAGCCACUGAGAGCCUUGUCCUCCAUGAAUUUGUCUAAUCCUCUUUCAAAGCCAUCCAAGCUGGGCAUCAUCAUCAUCAUCAACAUUUGGGAGAGUGAAAUCCAUAGUUUAACCAUGAGCUAUGUGAAGAAGUAUUCUCUGAAGUUGCACCAGGAAGAACUUUUGCUGAUUUUCUGUAGCGUCAUUCAGGGCAGCACAGAAUUGGGUCCUGGGCAUUUGCCUUUGUACUAUGAAACUAAUGAAGCUUAUGCUUCAGGGCCCCUAAUCCUGGAGGGGCCCCAGAAGUGACUUUAGUCCACAUUGCUUAAUUUAUGGGGGGUAAAGACCUGACUUGAGUCACACAAUUCAGACCAUUCUAUGAUGCAUCAUGCAUGUAUAUAACAUUUCCCUAAUUUUAGCCCCCCCCCAAUAACUUGAAAACUAUAAGGCAUAGGAAAAAUUUUUUUGUACCAGUGACUUUGACAUGUGAAAUAAUCCAGUACAGCAAUUUUUUCUCUCAAAAUCUCAGAUGUAGUAGUUAAUUUAAAAAUAAAUAAACUGUGAUGAUCUGUCAUGGAACAACCCAAUGAAGAAAAUAACUGUGGUUACUCAGACCUCAUUGCUGGUCACAAAGGGGGACCCAUAGCAGUUCAAGCUUCAGGGCCCCCAAAAUGUAGGUCAACCUGUAGAAGGCUCAUGACCAAAAAAAUGUAUGCCGUGGUGCCUAGGAAUUUCUCCAUCCCACUGACCCCUUUUAAACCAGUGUUCUUUCCCCAAAGGUGCUGAAAGAUCCAUCUUGGUGCUGAUUCCUCUGAAGAGCCUUUGCUACCCCUGGUGACGAAGAAGCAGGGUGUCUUCUUGCAACACUGGAGAGCCCAGCGUGGGAGUAGCAUGACUAAGAAUGGCAAAUGAGGUUAACUGCUGUAGGAGGGCAGGAGGAAACCACAAUUGCCCCUAAGGAAGCAAUUCUUGCCAUUUCUAAAAAGACAACCACUACAUCUCUCUCACCACCACCGAUAACACUCAAGAACGGACAGGAUGUUGCUGUGCUUUGGAAAUCGCUGCUCAGCUACAAUGCAUAUGAAACUGCACCUAGGCUGCAGAUUAGAAGGCUAUUGAUUUUAUCCAUCGCUGUCCAGGGGGAGAGAAUAAGGAUGGUGCCGUUUUCACUGCAGGCGGAGGAGGAGGAGGGGAGGGGGAGGCCCACACUUGCAUUCAAAUGAGCUGGUGACUCUGUGCCUGAGCUGCCAGGGCAUGAAUGCUAAGCAGCCUUGUUCCCGGUUCAAUCUGCUCAGUGCCUAGCUAAUAAUUAUUCUCUGGAGAAAACCCUACAGGAGACAUUUAUUCCUCCCUCCUCUCCUUCGCUUGCAUCUCCCUGGUAUUUAUGCAAGAUUAAGGAGCCUGGUUACGCUGUUACCUCUCUGAUUGGUGCUCUAUUUUAACCUCGCUUAUAAAGCACCGGCCCAAGCCUUUUCCUGUAGACAAGAGCAAGAGGAGCCUUUCUUCCUCCCCACAUUUCUCUCCACCUUUUGUAUGAAAACGGCGGCAUGGAUUGGCUGUUCUCAGGAUUGCCUCGUGGCAGGCAACCAAUGAGGAGAGGCGGGGAGGAUAAAUGGUGCCAGACUCCCAGAGGUGCUGUGGCACUGUGUAAUUAUUGCUCCAGACAGCUGAAAGCAGCAGGGCUUCUCCUCUCUCCUGCUUCAUUUCAGCCUGCCAUGAUUGCUGGCACAGAAAGAUGCUGAUUAUAAGUAAACAUUAAUUAUGCCCCUGCUAUCAUGCCGGUUGAAAUACAGUUAUCUUAACAGAGAAGCAAUCCUAUUGCUUGCCCUUUUUAAAAGCAGAAAAAGCACUUCCCAAGCUGCGGGUUCAAGCUUCUAAGUGGCUUCCUUGUGCAAGGAACACAGGUUCUCCUGCACAGCUGGGGAUGGAGAGCUGCCUGUUUUGUAGCUUGCCGUGGGCAAGGAGGCUCCGAGACAAAACUUUGCUUUAUUAUGGUGCUGUGUAGCCCUCUCGGAGGUCCAGAAAGGCCUAGGCUCCUUCCAGCUUUUGAGACCCCCCAAGCACAAUAAGCACACAAAAACAAAACAAGGCACCAAAGACAAUAAAAUGUGACAGUUUUCUAAGAAUAUAUGAUGAGUGUGUUAGAUCAGGCUAAUAGCCCAUCUAGUCUAGCAUCCUGUUCUCACAGUAGCUGCCCGUAGGAAGCCUACAUUACCUAUAAAUCCCUGCAGCAAUCUGUUCAGUGACAGCUUCUCCAUCAUCACCAGAUGCGACUUCAUCCUCAAGAGUGAGGUACAAGCAAGGCCAUCCCUGCCAUUAGGCAAAGUGAGGCAGCUGUCUUAGGCGGCUGUUCCUGGGUGGCAGUGGUGAGGUUGGGAGGAAAGAGCUGUGUGUGCCACAUGGCCUAAGUCUUCUUGCUAUCCUCAGGUGCGAUGGAGGACAAUGUCCCAUCACCAGUGUUAAAGUAACAUUCAGCUGGCACUUUGGUUGGCUUCUGUAAGAGGAACUGUAGGGUUAGAGGAGCUGUCCUCUGCUUCAAGCGGCAAAAUACUUUGAGCAGGCCCUGGGUAUAAAUGGCAAGAUAAACUACCUGAAGUCAUAUUCUGAGCUCCAGGAAGAAUCAGGGUCUCAAAGCCCAUUUAGCAAUCCUUGGGCUGGCUUGACUAGCUUCUCAGGUACUGAAGAGGGAAGGGAUGACUGGUGUAUACAAAUAAAUAACAAAAUGCCUGACUGCCCAGAAAUAUGCCGAAACUUCUUUUUAUAGAAGCCUGAACAAGAUUCUCCUGAGUCAGGAAGGGGUUGGAAUGCUAAUGGUAAUUCUCGCCCCCCCCCAAAAAAAGCUGAAUUGACACACUCACAUGCAUCUUCAGCGACAACUGCUUACUUCUUAAGAUGAAAAGGGCUUAAAGUCUGUUUGGUGGAAAUGGAACAUUGGAUCUCCUUAAAACACUUGGCACUCUGUAUCCCCCUCAAAUUACACGUAUUUCUUUAGGAGGCAACACAAAGGGGCUGUCAAUGGCAAACUGCUGCACUAGCUCUGAGCAGGACUUGCUCAGCCCCAAGAAGGAUCGAAGUUGAUCUUUGUGCUUCACAAAUGGCUUUUGCUAGGUCUUAUUUUGGCAGCAUGCCCGCCUGAGAAUGCUUUACAAAUUACACCGUGUCUGUCUAAAACUGACAUUCUGCCCCGUUGAUAGCGCCCACAUUACUGAAACUCUUAUAGGAUGCCUUAUUUAAUUGUGCCAUGAUCAGGUUCAUCCUCCUGCAUACCAGAAUGUAAUUUUGGAAAAUUUUAAUGCGCCUGCUUUCUCCAGAUGUUGGACACCUUACAUUAUGGAAUGCAGAUGCUGCGGAAGCCAAAUCAAUUUUUUUUGCAUGGGAAUAACAUUUCUGGAACGAUAAAAGCUAUGAACUUAUGGGAUUCUUCUGUUACAGGAAUCCACUGGUGGGUUAAGGAUAAGUUAAGGGGACGGCAGUCUACAACAAGGUGAGCUGGGAUUUCUCAGUGCUAGGAAGCCUGCUUUACAAAGGGUAAAACCCCUGGUCCAUUUGCUCUCUACUGUCUACACUGACAGGCAGUGCAUGUCCCGGGUUUGCCACCCCUACCUAGGUAUGCCUAGAUUUGAACCUGAGACUUUCUGCCUUGAAAGCAUGUGCUCUAUCAAAUAAGCUUCCCCUGAAGCAUGGCUGGGGAACCUAUGGCCUACAAAAUGCUGCUGGACUCCAUAUCCCUAAUCACCUCUAUCCAUAUGCCUGUAUACACUCUCAAAUAACUAACAGGUUUGCAAGAAAGGACUUUCCCUUGCAAAAGCCAUGCUGAUUCUGCUUCAGUACGGCUUGUUCUUCUAUAUGCUUUAACAAUACUUUCCACCAGUUUUCCAGGGACAGACAUUACACUAACAAGUCUGUUAUUUCCUGGAUUCUCCCCAGAUCCCUUUUAAAAAAUGGGUGUUACAUUGUCUACUUUCCAGUCUCCAUACUCCUUCUUUCUCAAUCUUCAUCCUUCCAUUUCUCCCUGAGAAUAGUGGGAAGCCUAUCCCUAAGGGUCAGACUACAGAGACUCUAAAGUGGUGACAGGGAAUCAGUGUCCUUCCACGUGGUUUUGGAUUACAGCUCUAUUGGCUGUGCUAUCUGGGAAUCAUGGGAGUUGGAGUCCAACAGCAACUGGGGAGCUGCAGGUUCCCCCAUCCAUUUCUAAAGAGAUACACUUCAUAAGACAAACAGAACAAACUGCAAACUAUAAGGAUACACCACUGUCUUAUAGUACUUUGCUUUGGCUAGGCAGCUACAUUUUUGUAAAAAACACCACCACCACCACUACUCAUGCUGUUCUUUGAUGGAGCAACAAGCAUUAUGAGUGAGUUGGAACUUCUUCAUUCAUCUUUUCUGAGAGGCUGGGGGGCUGUUUUUUCCUCUCCUGCUUCUAGCACCCAACACUUCAAAUAGGAAAUGGCACCGUAUUUUGAGGUACUAAAUUUUAGAAAUGCACACACAAGUCUCCUUAUGUGGUGCAAUUGCACACAUCGUUGGAGUAGACAAUUACAGCGACUGCCAGAGUGCUCUUGAAAGGCAGCCUCUGCUGAGGAUAAGAUUUCACUUUCUUGUGACAACCCUGCAUUGCAGUGGAAGAGUCUCAAUUUGAUUAUCUGGCUGUUCCAUAGCUCUUAUAUUUACAACCUUGCUGACCUCUGGGGAAAGGGUAAGGAUAGCAAGCCAAUCACUCUGGAGCCAUUUCCAAAGGUCAAAGCAAGAGAACAUUCACUCCUGGUAAUUCACAAAUGCUACAUCUCUGAACCCUGGUCCCUCUGACAAAAAACUGGCAGAAGAACGCAAGUUAAUGUGAAAUAUUUAUCCAUUUCUAGGGCAACUGUCUGAACACAAAGCAUUAACCUCAUUCUUGCUUCAGGUUUCAAGGCUACAGACUGAAGUGCUCUAACAGGAUCUGAAAUAUAACUGAUAUUUAUUAAUGGAUGCUUUUGAAUGCUUUCCAUUUUCAGUUGGAAAUAUAGCUCAAAGUAAGUUCAUGAU
rnacentral:lncRNA from 1 species